GACGAACGCUGGCGGCGUGCUUAACACAUGAGAGUCGAACGGAAAGGCCCUGCUUUUGUGGGGUGCUCGAGUGGCGAACGGGGGAGUAAAACGUGAGUAACCUGCCCUUGACUUGGGGAUAACUUCAGGAAACUGGGGCUAAUACCGGAUAGGAGCUCCUGCUGCAUGGUGGGGGUUGGAAAGUUUCGGCGGUUGGGGAUGGACUCGCGGCUUAUCAGCUUGUUGGUGGGGUAGUGGCUUACCAAGGCUUUGACGGGUAGCCGGCCUGAGAGGGUGACCGGCCACAUUGGGACUGAGAUACGGCCCAGACUCCUACGGGAGGCAGCAGUGGGGAAUAUUGCACAAUGGGCGGAAGCCUGAUGCAGCAACGCCGCGUGCGGGAUGACGGCCUUCGGGUUGUAAACCGCUUUCGCCUGUGACGAAGCGUGAGUGACGGUAAUGGGUAAAGAAGCACCGGCUAACUACGUG
rnacentral:rRNA from 1 species